rnacentral:rRNA from 1 species
UACGUAGGGUGCAAGCGUUGUCCGGAAUUAUUGGGCGUAAAGAGCUCGUAGGCGGUUUGUCGCGUCUGCUGUGAAAAUCCAGGGCUUAACCCUGGACCUGCAGUGGGUACGGGCAGACUGGAGUGCGGUAGGGGAGAUCGGAAUUCCUGGUGUAGCGGUGAAAUGCGUAGAUAUGUGGAGGAACACCAAUGGCGAAGGCAGCCCCCUGGGUCAACACUGACGCUCAUGCACGAAAGCGUGGGGAGCAAACAGG